rnacentral:rRNA from 1 species
GUGCCAGAAGACUCGGUAAUACGAAGGGGGCUAGCGUUGUUCGGAAUUACUGGGCGUAAAGGGCGCGUAGGCGGCCGUGCAAGUCAGAUGUGAAAGCCCUGGGCUCAACCCAGGAUGUGCAUUUGAUACUGCAUGGCUAGAGUGUCGGAGAGGAUGGUGGAAUUCCCAGUGUAGAGGUGAAAUUCGUAGAUAUUGGGAAGAACACCGGUGGCGAAGGCGACCAUCUGGACGACAACUGACGCUGAGGCGCGAAAGCGUGGGGAGCAAACAGGAUUAGAUACCCUGGUAGUCCACGCCGUAAACUAUGCGUGUUGGACGUUGGCGAGCCUAGCUCGUCGGUGUCGCAGCUAACGCGUGAAGUCAUCCGCCUGGGGAGUACGGUCGCAAGAUUAAAACUCAAAUGAAUUGGCGG